GGGGUUGUGGCUCAGUGGUAGAGUGCUUGCCUAGCAUGUGUGAGGCACUGGGUUCGAUUCUCAGCAUCACAA
rfam:Ictidomys tridecemlineatus contig070540, whole genome shotgun sequence.